ensembl:lncRNA
GUCAGGCUGGAAGUGCUGAUUUCAAGAUAACACAUCACCUCAGCUCGGAGAACCCUCCCUGCCAGGCAGGAUUCUUGUGGCUCUAACACACCCAGAUCUGCACCGAGGAAGCCCGUGGGGCCAGGAGGUCCUCGGGGAGCCAAGCCCAGAGCAGUCCCUAAGUCGUGUUGGACUCUGCCACCCCAUGGACUGCAGCAUGCCAGGCCCCUGUGUCCUCCACUUUCUCCUGGAGUUUGCUGAAAUUCAUGUCCAUUGUGUCGGGUAAAUGGCACAGGAAGAAUCAUUCAUUCUUCUUUGCAUAAAUGUUUCGUGAACACCGUCCUG